AUUAUUCCAAGAAGUCCAUUCUUGCCCCAUUCUGGAUUGAACCUACGUUGUAGCCUUGCUCUGUGAUUGUUCAAGAGGUCGGUUUUGUUUGGUGUUACCUGCUACAACUUACUCUCUUUUGAGUUCCAUAUCUGCUUUUCUACAUUUGUGUUUCCUUUUUUCUGCUCCCCCCUUGGUUUUUUUGCUUGGUAAGUUAAAUGUUCUGUUUGUCCAGGAAGCAAAUUCCUGCUACAUUACAGAUCUUGUUUUUACACUAUGGAAUUCCUUUGUUUUAAUUUU
rnacentral:lncRNA from 1 species